rnacentral:rRNA from 1 species
GGGUCAGUAGGUUGGUCGUGCCACCGGUACGUACUGGUCUCACUGAUUCCUCCUUCCUGAAGAACCGUAAUGCCAUUAAUUUGGUGUUGCGGGGAAACAGGACUGCUACUUUGAAAAAAUUAGAGUGUUUAAAGCAAGAUAACGCUUGAAUACAUUAGCAUGGAAUAAUGAAAUAGGACGAUCGAUCCUAUUUUGUUGGUUUCUAGGAUUGACGUA